rnacentral:rRNA from 1 species
UACGUAGGGUGCGAGCGUUGUCCGGAAUUAUUGGGCGUAAAGGGCUCGUAGGCGGUUUGUCGCGUCGGGAGUGAAAACCCAGGGCUUAACCCUGGGCUGGCUUCCGAUACGGGCAGACUAGAGGUAUGCAGGGGAGAACGGAAUUCCUGGUGUAGCGGUGAAAUGCGUAGAGAUCAGGAGGAACACCCGUGGCGAAGGCGGCCUUCUGGGUCCGCCCUGACGCUGAGGCGCGAAAGCGUGGGGAGCGAACGGG